GAUGAACGCUGGCGGCGUGCCUAACACAUGCAAGUCGAGCGCGAUUAAGUGGAGUGAGAACUUCGGUUCAAGUGAAACUUAUGAAAGCGGCGGACGGGUGAGUAACGCGUGGGUAACCUGCCCCAUACAAAGGGAUAGCCACUGGAAACGGUGAUUAAUACCUUAUAAGUCGGUAGUCUCGCAUGAGACAGCCGACAAAGAUUUAUCGGUAUGGGAUGGACCCGCGUCUGAUUAGCUAGUUGGUGAGGUAACGGCUCACCAAGGCGACGAUCAGUAGCCGACCUGAGAGGGUGAUCGGCCACACUGGAACUGAGACACGGUCCAGACUCCUACGGGAGGCAGCAGUGGGGAAUAUUGCACAAUGGGCGCAAGCCUGAUGCAGCAACGCCGCGUGAGUGAUGAAGGCUUUCGGGUCGUAAAACUCUGUCCUAUGGGAAGAAAAAAUAGACGGUACCAUAGGAGGAAGCCCGGCUAACUACGUGCCAGCAGCCGCGGUAAAG
rnacentral:rRNA from 1 species